rnacentral:lncRNA from 1 species
UGCAGAUUGAUGCACUUUUGGACCCCUAGAAUGUCUUGGGCACAUGUAGACUUUAAGAGUGGCUAAUCGACUCUUUCAAAACACCAAUAAAUUUGAAAAAGACCCAAAAAAGUAACCAAUAGGCGUGUGGUUGUCCUAAAGGUUAUUAUCCUGUAAAGCGGGCUCAUUUUAGUACUCUUGUGCCUUAGAAAUAUUCUGAACAACAAAUUCCAGAGAGGUAGGGUGAUUUUGAG